rnacentral:rRNA from 1 species
AUUGAACGCUGGCGGCAUGCCUUACACAUGCAAGUCGAACGGUAACAGGUUAAGCUGACGAGUGGCGAACGGGUGAGUAAUAUAUCGGAACGUGCCCAGUCGUGGGGGAUAACGUAGCGAAAGCUACGCUAAUACCGCAUACGAUCUACGGAUGAAAGCGGGGGAUCGCAAGACCUCGCGCGAUUGGAGCGGCCGAUAUCAGAUUAGGUUGUUGGUGAGGUAAAAGCUCACCAAGCCUGCGAUCUGUAGCUGGUCUUAGAGGACGACCAGCCACAGUGGAACGGAGAAACGGUCCAGACUCCUACGGGAGGCAGCAGUGGGGAAUUUUGGACAAUGGACGCAAGGCUGAUCCAGCAAUGCCGCGUGCAGGACGAAGGCCUUCGGGUUGUAAACUGCUUUUGUACGGAACGAAACGGUGAGCUCUAAUACAGUUUGCUAAUGACGGUACCGUAAGAAUAAGCACCGGCUAACUACGUGCCAGCCGCCGCGGUAA